UGUGUGAGGUGAGAGGGAGGAGACGGAAGCAGAGGUGCAGCAUUACAUCAAAAUCAGUGGUCCUGAUCUUGCGAGAAGCACAAGUUCGACAUGCAUGUCCUAUGAAGGAGGGUAGUGGCUGGUAUAAGGUGUAGUCUGGCCUGGAUGUAUCCUCUGGUCUCUUGGAAGGCCUGUCUCUGGGACACCUCGGCAGGGUAGUGGGUACAGAUUCCAAUGAUGUUGGUGCACAGGAAGAUCAGAACGUUGGCGCUCACCUGGGAAAAGAUGAACGGAGAAGAGAGAGCAGGUGAAGCAUGCAUGGGACACAAAAACAAGGAGUGAUGAUCAUCUGUGCCAUUAUUUCUACACCAGAGAAACAACUUUGAACGCAAG